UCUCCGUUGGUGAACCAGCGGAGGGAUCAUUACCAGAGUUUUACAACUCCCAACCCUUCUGUGAACCUACCUAUCGUUGCUUCGGCGGACUCGCCCCAUCGUCCGGACAGCCCCGCGCCGUCCCGCGACCUUGACCCAGGCGGCCGCCGGUUACCACUCAAACCUGUAUCCAUCAGUCUCGCGGAAUCCGCCUCAAGGCAAAACAAACGAAUCAAAACUUUCAACAAUGGAUCUCUUGGUUCUG
rnacentral:misc_RNA from 1 species